AAGAUGAGAUUUCCCAUAGCGUAAGCUAGUAAGACCCCUUGAAGACUACAAGGUUGAUAGGUCAGAGGUGUAAGUAUGGCAACAUAUUUAGCUGACUGAUACUAAUAGGUCGAGGGCUUGACCAAU
rnacentral:rRNA from 1 species